GGGUGCCCGCGAGGGGAGCCCUAGCACAGGUGCUGCAUGGCCGUCGUCAGCUCGUGCCGUGAGGUGUUGGGUUAAGUCCCGCAACGAGCGCAACCCCCGCCGUUAGUUGCCAGCGGUUCGGCCGGGCACUCUAACGGGACUGCCCGCGAAAGCGGGAGGAAGGAGGGGACGACGUCUGGUCAGCAUGGCCCUUACGGCCUGGGCGACACACGUGCUACAAUGCCCACUACAAAGCGAGGCCACCCGGCAACGGGGAGCUAAUCGCAAAAAGGUGGGCCCAGUUCGGAUUGGGGUCUGCAACUCGCCUACAUGAAGUCGGAAUCGCUAGUAAUCGCGGAUCAGCACGCCGCGGUGAAUACGUUCCCGGGCCUU
rnacentral:rRNA from 1 species